UACAGAGGGUGCAAGCGUUAAUCGGAAUUACUGGGCGUAAAGCGCGCGUAGGUGGUUGUGUAAGUUGGGUGUGAAAGCUCCCGGCUCAACUGGGAGAGGUCGCUCAAGACUGGCGAGCUAGAGUAUGGUAGAGGAAGGUGGAAUUCCGGGUGUAGUGGUGAAAUGCGUAGAUAUCCGGAGGAACACCAGUGGCGAAAGCGGCCUUCUGGGCCAAGACUGACGCUCAGACGCGAAAGCUAGGGUAGCAAACGGGAUUAGAUACCCCGGUAGU
rnacentral:rRNA from 1 species